UCUCAUUCCCUGAGACCCUAACUUGUGACGUUUUGCUGUGAUGUGCACGGGUUGGGUUCUUGGGAGCUGCG
rnacentral:pre_miRNA from 3 species